rnacentral:lncRNA from 1 species
ACAAGAGAAACUCCUUCGCGCUGGCGACGGGCGAGUCCUCGCUGGAGGAGGUGCAGGGUGCGACUGGCGGACCGGCGGACUGCUGCGGGGGUUGACCGCGGUCCCCCGCGCUGCGGGGCGGCCCCGCCCACAGGCCCGUCUCGCCGCCGCCGCGCGCGCGCAACCCAGCUCGGCGUUGUCAACGCGCACCUCGGCGGGAAGGGAUGAAUCCCCUCGUCAUCCUGCGGCCGACCCACGCCGCGAACAAGCGGGAGCGGUGCGCGUCUGAGGCGGCGUCGGAGCCGUGAGACUGGACGGUCGAAAGAGGCUUUUUUCUGUGAGGUCUGGGCUGAUGCUGUUCCAGGUCAGAGCAGCGGUUGGCUGAAGGCCCAGCAGUGAUUUAUGGCUCCGUCCGCACAAGGUCAAGAACAGGAACCAGACCUAUCGCUGAUAAGAACAGCGGUUUGAGGUUAGGUCCAAACACAGUGAGUUUGAAUCUCAGAGGACGACGGCACCAGACAAACACCAAUCAUCAGAGACCUUUCAGAGCUGCCUCGGGGGGCGACACAUACCAUCCAACCACGCACGCACACGUGCACCCCUGCUCUUAUUUUGGAAGUCAGCCUGUUGUGGAGACACAGGUAGGGUGUCAAGAGGAACAAAGAGACACACAUAAGCCAAAGAGAUACACCCGGGGAAUCAGGGGAUGUGUGGAUAAGCUUUGCCUGUCUGUGACGUGACAGCCGCAGAUCGCUCCUCCGAAAUAUUUCCACUUUUUAAAAAAAAAAAAAA